rnacentral:lncRNA from 1 species
UUGUAUAAAAAUCUUUAAAAACAAAAACGAAUUAUAGUUGGAUUUUCCUUUAAAAAAAAUUUAAAGUAAUUUAUUUCUUAUAAAUAACUAACUUUUCUUUUUAAUAGAUAAUUUUGUGUUAAAAAUUAUAAACCAAAAAUAACUUCAAAUAUUUCACCCGAUAUCACCCGAUAUGAUUGUGAAAUUUGUACAAAAAAAAAACAUGGGGAAAUUACAUGUUUACCACUUUCAUGCUAACACUUUUCAUUUAUACCACCACUAAAAAGACAUUUUCAAAAAUAUUUUCUUCAUUAAGUGGCAAAUGACUCUUAUGCCUAUGUUCUUUAUAUAUAUAAUAAAUAAAUAUUUAAAUAAAUAAAAAUCUAAAAAAAUAUAUUUUUUAAUUUUUUUCUGAAUUAUACUAUUUCGAAAUUCAAACUCUAAACCCUAAAACUCAACUCUAAACCCUAAACCAUCAAUCCUAAACCCUAUUUUUUUGAAAUAUGAACCCUAAACCCUAAACCAUCAAUCCUAAACCCUAUUUUUUUUUGAAAUAAACCUUAAGCCCUGAAACAUCAACUCUAAUCUCUAAACCCCGAAACAUCAACUCUAAACCCUAAACCCUAAACCUUCAACUCUAAACCCUAAAACAUCAACUCUAAACCCUAAACCCUAAACCUUCAACUCUAAACCCUAAAACAUCAACUCUAAACCCUAAAAAGUAAACUCUAAACCCUAAACCCUAAAAAUUAACCCUAAACCCUAAAACAUCAACUCUAAACCCUAAACCCUAAACCCUAAACCUUCAACUCUAAACCCUAAACCCUAAAUCCUAAAUCCUAAACCCAAAAACCCUAGAGUUGAUGUUUUACGGUUUAGAUUUGAAGAUUUAGGGUUUAGGGUUUAGAGUUGAUGUUUUAGGGUUUAGAUUUGAUGGUUUAGGGUUUAGGGUUUAGGUUUCGAAUUUCAGAAAAAUAUAAGGUUUAGGGUUUAGGGUUUACGUUUUGGGUUUAUAAUUGAUGUUUUAGGGUUUUAAUUUGAAAGUUUAAGGUUUAGGGUUUACAGUUGAUGUUUUAGGGUUUUAAUUUGAAAGUUUAAUGUUUAGGAUUUAGAGUUAUGUUUCAGGGUUUAGGGUUUAGAGUUGAUGUUUCAUGGUUUAGAAUUGAUGUUUCAUGGUUUAGGGUUUAGAGUUGAUGAUUUAGGGUUUAAAGUUGAUGUUUUAAGUUUAGAUUUAGGGUUUAGGGUUUACGUUUAGGGUUUAGAGUUGAUGUUUUAGGGUUUAGAUUUGAAGUUUUAGGGUUUAGAGUUGAUGUUUCGGGGUUUAGGGUUUAGAGUUGAUGUUUCAUGGUUUAGGGUUUAGAGUUGAUGAUUUAGGGUUUAGAGUUAAUGUUUUAAGUUUAGAUUAGUUAACUAUAUGUUUUUUUUUUGUCAAAGGUAAUCAAAAGGUUAUAAAUUUCUUUUAUCCUUCAUUAAAGAUGAGGGUAAAAGUGGUUAGUGUAAACAUGAAAAGUGGUACUUUGAAAAUGAUAUUUUUGGUAAU